UACGAAGGGGGCUAGCGUUGCUCGGAAUUACUGGGCGUAAAGCGCACGUAGGCGGCUUUCUAAGUCGGGGGUGAAAUCCUGGAGCUCAACUCCAGAACUGCCCUUGAUACUGGACGUCUCGAGUCCGGGAGAGGUGAGUGGAACUGCGAGUGUAGAGGUGAAAUUCGUAGAUAUUCGCAAGAACACCAGUGGCGAAGGCGGCUCACUGGCCCGGUACUGACGCUGAGGUGCGAAAGCGUGGGGAGCAA
rnacentral:rRNA from 1 species